UACGUAGGGGGCUAGCGUUGUCCGGAAUCAUUGGGCGUAAAGAGCGUGUAGGCGGUUCGGUAAGUCCGCUGUGAAAGUCCAGGGCUCAACCCUGGAAUGCCAGUGGAAACUGCCGAGCUAGAGUCCGGAAGAGGCGAGUGGAAUUCCUGGUGUAGCGGUGAAAUGCGUAGAUAUCUGGAGGAACACCGGUGGCGAAGGCGGCAUCUGGACCGGCAUUGACGCUGAGGAGCGAAAGCCAGGGGAGCAACGGG
rnacentral:rRNA from 1 species